rnacentral:ncRNA from 1 species
ACAGAACUCUGGAAAGUUUAUUAUUAAACACCGAAGGAGCAGUCUACUUCGUGUAGAUAAUCUCUCAGGUUUAAAGACAGAGUAGUA